AGAGUUUGAUCAUGGCUCAGAACGAACGCUGGUAGCGUGGAUUAGGCAUGCAAGUCGAACGGGAUCCGGGAGGUAGCAAUACUUCCUGGUGAGAGUGGCGGAUUGGGGAGGAACACGUGAGCAACCUGCCUUUGAGUCGGGGAAAACCGUUGGAAACGACGGCUAAUACCGGAUGUGGCGCCCGGUGACAUCACCGGAGCGCUAAAGGGGGCCGCAAGGCUCUCGCUCGUAGAGGGGCUCGCGCACCAUCAGCUUGUUGGCGGGGUAACGGCCCACCAAGGCCUACGGUUAGCUGGUCUGAGAGGAUGACCAGCCCCACUGGGACUGAGAUACUGCCCAUACUCCUACGGGAGGCAGCAGUGAGGAAUAUUGGUCAAUGGGCGGAAGCCUGAACCAGCCAUGCCGCGUGCAGGAAUAAGGCCCUACGGGUCGUAAACUGCUUUUGUACGGGAGCAAUAAGGGCCACGUGUGACCUGAUGAGAGUACCGUACGAAUAAGCAUCGGCUAACUCCGUGCCAGCAGCCGCGGUAAUACGGAGGAUGCGAGCGUUAUCCGGAUUCAUUGGGUUUAAAGGGUGCGUAGGCGGCGUGCCAAGUCAGGGGUGAAAGGUUCCGGCUCAACUGGGACAGUGCCUUUGAUACUGGUGUGCUGGAGUGCGCUUGCCGUGGGAGGAAUGAGUGGUGUAGCGGUGAAAUGCUUAGAUAUCACUCAGAACACCGAUUGCGAAGGCAUCUCACGAAGGCGUAACUGACGCUGAGGCACGAAAGCGUGGGGAUCAAACAGGAUUAGAUACCCUGGUAGUCCACGCCGUAAACGAUGAUGACUAACCGCCGGUCCGAUAGGGUCGGUGGCCAAGCGAAAGCGAUAAGUCAUCCACCUGGGGAGUACGACCGCAAGGUUGAAACUCAAAGGAAUUGACGGGGGCCCGCACAAGCGGAGGAACAUGUGGUUUAAUUCGAUGAUACGCGAGGAACCUUACCCGGGCUCGAACGGCAAGUGAAGAGAGACAGAGAUGUUGACGUCCUUCGGGACACUUGUCGAGGUGCUGCAUGGUUGUCGUCAGCUCGUGCCGUGAGGUGUCGGCUCAAGUGCCAUAACGAGCGCAACCCCUGCUUCCAGUUACCAGCACGUAAAGGUGGGGACUCUGGAGGGACUGCCACCGCAAGGUGAGAGGAAGGGGAGGAUGACGUCAAAUCAGCACGGCCCUUACGUCCGGGGCGACACACGUGUUACAAUGGCGGCCACAGAGGGAAGCUACCCUGCGAGGGGAUGCGGAUCUCGAAAAGCCGUCUCAGUUCGGAUCGGAGUCUGCAACUCGACUCCGUGAAGCUGGAUUCGCUAGUAAUCGCGCAUCAGCCAUGGCGCGGUGAAUACGUUCCCGGGCCUUGUACACACCGCCCGUCAAGCCAUGGAAGCCGGGGGCGCCUGAAGUUCGUGACCGCGAGGAGCGACCUAGGGCGAAACUGGUAACUGGGGCUAAGUCGUAACAAGGUAGCC
rnacentral:rRNA from 1 species